AUGCUGAAGCGAAGACAUGUGGAGGAAAUUGACUUCUGUGAAAGUUGUGGGCAGCCGGAAACUUCGAUGCAUGCAAUUUUUCAUUGUACUUGGGCUCGGAGUUUUUGGGACGAGAUUAAAAUUCUAACUGGCAUUAAAAUUCCCAAACUUCACCCGCAGUCGUGGACACUUGAUCUUGUUGAUGGAACCAAGGUUUCUCAAGCAGAUGCUUGCGUUAUUUGUUGUGGUGCGUGGGCAAUAUGGACUGAGCGAAAUACAAGAAGACAUGGGGAGGCUGGACGUACCAUAGCGCAAUCUGUCAAAUGGGUUACUGAUAUAGUGAUGGAUUUGGUUAUGGCAGGAAAAGAAAACUUAGUUAAGGCGCCGAAGGUGAAAGCUAAAUGGUCACCACCUGAAAAUGGAGUGAUCAAGGUGAAUGUUGAUGCCUCCUUUGAUGAGAAUACCAAUCAAGGGUCUUCCGGGCUGGUGAUCCGUGAUAGUUUUGGCAAUCUCCUACGUGCACAGGCCCUUUGGUAUGAGUUUGCAGCAAGCUCGAUGGCAAUGGAAGCUGAGGCGAUUCGGGAUGGGGUGCAAGUGACCCUGGAGAGAGGCUUCCGUAGAGUUGUCGUCGAGAGCGACGCUCAAGCAAUCAUAAAGCUGUGGGAGACAGAAGAUUUUGAUCGUGCUGAGAUCGUUGGAGUUCUUCACGAGAUCAAAGAACUGAGUGCACAAUUUAAGAGUUUUAGGCUAAUUUUCGUACGAAGAGACGCUAAUGAGGCGGCCCACUUAUGUGCGAAGCAGGCGACAAAUGUUAGGAGGAGAUGCUUAUGGCUUAAUUGCGUUCCAGUAUUCCUAACGGAUACGUUGUAUCAUGAUUGUAUGCCUGAUUAG
rnacentral:rRNA from 1 species